AUCUCUGUGGAAGGAGUGACGGCUCAACCUGAAAGGAACAUAUGUCCUAAUGGAGCCACUACAACACUGCAGGUAUCUGUUUUUGUGGAAGAUGGGAAGGAACCUGUAGCCCUGGCGGUAAAUGGAAAGACCCGCUCCAACUGUGGGAGACACGUCACCAAGGCAGCGUUAUUUUUUCCUCCACCUCUGAUAUCGAGGUUGGGGCUCCUGAUGGCAUUAGUAACAAGCAGUAAAUAAAGACCGUAA
rnacentral:lncRNA from 1 species